rnacentral:rRNA from 1 species
UGCCCAAGAGAUCGGGAUAACACCUGGAAACAGAUGCUAAUACCGGAUAACAACAGAUGAUGCCUAUCAACUGUUUAAAAGAUGGUUCUGCUAUCACUCUUGGAUGGACCUGCGGUGCAUUAGCUAGUUGGUAGGGUAACGGCCUACCAGGGCGAUGAUGCAUAGCCGAGUUGAGAGACUGAUCGGCCACAUUGGGACUGAGACACGGCCCAAACUCCUACGGGAGGCAGCAGUC